rnacentral:rRNA from 1 species
AUUGAACGCUGGCGGCAUGCCUUACACAUGCAAGUCGAACGGCAGCACGGGAGCUUGCUCCUGGUGGCGAGUGGCGAACGGGUGAGUAAUAUAUCGGAACGUGUCCUGGAGUGGGGGAUAACUAGUCGAAAGAUUAGCUAAUACCGCAUACGAUCUAAGGAUGAAAGUGGGGGAUCGCAAGACCUCAUGCUCCUAGAGCGGCCGAUAUCUGAUUAGCUAGUUGGUGAGGUAAAGGCUCACCAAGGCGACGAUCAGUAGCUGGUCUGAGAGGACAACCAGCCACACUGGAACUGAGACACGGUCCAGACUCCUACGGGAGGCAGCAGUGGGGAAUUUUGGACAAUGGGCGCAAGCCUGAUCCAGCAAUGCCGCGUGAGUGAAGAAGGCCUUCGGGUUGUAAAGCUCUUUUGCCAGGGAAGAAACGGCAAAGGCUAAUAUCCUUUGCUAAUGACGGUACCUGAAGAAUAAGCACCGGCUAACUACGUGCCAGCCGCCGCCGUAA